GAUGAACGCUAGCGGGAGGCCUAACACAUGCAAGCCGAGCGGUAUUUCUUCUUCGGAAGAGAGAGAGCGGCGUACGGGUGCGGAACACGUGUGCAACCUGCCUUUAUCUAGAGGAUAGCCUUUCGAAAGGAAGAUUAAUACUCUAUAAUAUAUUAACUGGCAUCAAUUGAUAUUGAAAACUCCGGUGGAUAGAGAUGGGCACGCGCAAGAUUAGCUAGUUGGUGAGGUAACGGCUCACCAAGGCAAUGAUCUUUAGGGGGCCUGAGAGGGUGCUCCCCCACACUGGUACUGAGACACGGACCAGACUCCUACGGGAGGCAGCAGUGAGGAAUAUUGGUCAAUGGGUGCAAGCCUGAACCAGCCAUCCCGCGUGAAGGAUUAAGGUCCUAUGGAUUGUAAACUUCUUUUGUAUAGGGAAAAACCUACCCUCGUGAGGGUAGCUGAAGGUACUAUACGAAUAAGCACCGGCUAACUCCGUGCCAGCCGCCGCAGUAAGAC
rnacentral:rRNA from 1 species